rnacentral:rRNA from 4 species
AGAGUUUGAUCAUGGCUCAGAUUGAACGCUGGCGGCAGGCCUAACACAUGCAAGUCGAGCGGUAGCACAGAGAGCUUGCUCUCGGGUGACGAGCGGCGGACGGGUGAGUAAUGUCUGGGAAACUGCCUGAUGGAGGGGGAUAACUACUGGAAACGGUAGCUAAUACCGCAUAACGUCGCAAGACCAAAGUGGGGGACCUUCGGGCCUCAUGCCAUCAGAUGUGCCCAGAUGGGAUUAGCUGGUAGGUGGGGUAACGGCUCACCUAGGCGACGAUCCCUAGCUGGUCUGAGAGGAUGACCAGCCACACUGGAACUGAGACACGGUCCAGACUCCUACGGGAGGCAGCAGUGGGGAAUAUUGCACAAUGGGCGCAAGCCUGAUGCAGCCAUGCCGCGUGUGUGAAGAAGGCCUUCGGGUUGUAAAGCACUUUCAGCGGGGAGGAAGGCGAUAAGGUUAAUAACCUUGUCGAUUGACGUUACCCGCAGAAGAAGCACCGGCUAACUCCGUGCCAGCAGCCGCGGUAAUACGGAGGGUGCAAGCGUUAAUCGGAAUUACUGGGCGUAAAGCGCACGCAGGCGGUCUGUCAAGUCGGAUGUGAAAUCCCCGGGCUCAACCUGGGAACUGCAUUCGAAACUGGCAGGCUAGAGUCUUGUAGAGGGGGGUAGAAUUCCAGGUGUAGCGGUGAAAUGCGUAGAGAUCUGGAGGAAUACCGGUGGCGAAGGCGGCCCCCUGGACAAAGACUGACGCUCAGGUGCGAAAGCGUGGGGAGCAAACAGGAUUAGAUACCCUGGUAGUCCACGCUGUAAACGAUGUCGAUUUGGAGGUUGUGCCCUUGAGGCGUGGCUUCCGGAGCUAACGCGUUAAAUCGACCGCCUGGGGAGUACGGCCGCAAGGUUAAAACUCAAAUGAAUUGACGGGGGCCCGCACAAGCGGUGGAGCAUGUGGUUUAAUUCGAUGCAACGCGAAGAACCUUACCUGGUCUUGACAUCCACAGAACUUUCCAGAGAUGGAUUGGUGCCUUCGGGAACUGUGAGACAGGUGCUGCAUGGCUGUCGUCAGCUCGUGUUGUGAAAUGUUGGGUUAAGUCCCGCAACGAGCGCAACCCUUAUCCUUUGUUGCCAGCGGUCCGGCCGGGAACUCAAAGGAGACUGCCAGUGAUAAACUGGAGGAAGGUGGGGAUGACGUCAAGUCAUCAUGGCCCUUACGACCAGGGCUACACACGUGCUACAAUGGCAUAUACAAAGAGAAGCGACCUCGCGAGAGCAAGCGGACCUCAUAAAGUAUGUCGUAGUCCGGAUUGGAGUCUGCAACUCGACUCCAUGAAGUCGGAAUCGCUAGUAAUCGUAGAUCAGAAUGCUACGGUGAAUACGUUCCCGGGCCUUGUACACACCGCCCGUCACACCAUGGGAGUGGGUUGCAAAAGAAGUAGGUAGCUUAACCUUCGGGAGGGCGCUUACCACUUUGUGAUUCAUGACUGGGGUGAAGUCGUAACAAGGUAACCGUAGGGGAACCUGCGGUUGGAUCACCU